CGUGACAUGUGCAGCCCGGCAUUAUUAGUGUGAUAGGAAUAGGUCCUUUUAUUCAAGGACGUGACAAACAUAGCAAAUGCUGCAAAACCUGAGCUGCUGUCGUCAUCACUCUAAAUGAGUUUUCCUUUCGUGGAGGCAGGAUGUGUGCUGUGGUUGAUCUGACUGGAAACGUGAAGCCAAUGGUGACUUUUUAUGAAGUUACUUUGAGACAUACCUCGAAGGGAUCUACAGAGGGUUUUUUCUAUUGAGGAGCUGCUCUCUCAGCCAGUGCCCAGCCUCCCAGAAGAAUGCUGGCAGAAUAGCGGCCAGGCCCGACUGGUUCUGCCCACAGCUGACUUCACAAGGAUCCCAUGACUCACACUCUGCCAGUGAUCACCGCCUCAGUCUGCCUUUGGAUCCUCUGGACAUCGGUACCACACCAACCGCCACGACGCCCUCGCCAUCCGGCCAACCUUGCCUCCAGAACCAGCCGCCUACCCGAACUAAACGCCAGGCUUCACUGGUCCCCCACCUGGUCGGUCCAGCCCUUCCCACUACGCUCGCCAGCCCAGAACCAGCGCACCUCGUCUCAGACCCAGUCCGGUCGAGUCCUUGUGGCGGCCACAAACCACGCCGAAUACUUCAUACCCCUACAACUAUCUGCACAAUAAAGACUGUUUCAAUCUUA